rfam:Ovis aries breed Texel chromosome 16, whole genome shotgun sequence.
UCCUUGGUGGCUCAGAUGGUAAAGCGUUUGUCUGCAAUGCAGGAGACCCGGGUUCGAUCCCUGGGUUGGGAA